GACCUCUGAGGUCACACAGAGCUUGAAGCAAGACAUUUGUUAACACUGGAGCAGGUUAGACAUGGCUUGCAUGGACUCCAUAAAGCUUUUGCUGCUAGACAAUCUACAUUCUUUGGGUACCUUUCCCAGUGCUGCCCUGUUGGUGUACUGAAAAAAGUGUUUGGUGUUGAUCUGACUGAGGGCUGUGACUUGUCUGAAUAUUGAAUUUAAUUGGGCUCUCAUCUUUGUAGAACAGGCCUCACCACGUUGCCGUUUUAUAGGUGGUGAUGCUUAACAGGUUUUCAGAAGCUUGCAGUGUUAAACAGUUGAGAAGAAUUUCAAUUUCUUGUAGUGAGAGCCAUCCUAUGUUUUGCAGCUGUAUUUGCAGCUGCCUCCGUUAAUAAGCAACUUAAUGCCUUUCACUGAGAGAUCCAGAAAUGGUUUGGGAGAUGUCACACCUGUGUUGCUAGUGAGAUGGAAAUUAGUGGAAGUGAAAGCACUGCAGAAACAUCUAGUUUGAACACCUCCAUUUGGAAUUUGAAGCAGUGUGUGGCCCAGAGUUCCUGAGCAGACUUGUCCAGGUUUCAUGAGGUUCUAUUGACGCCUGCCAUCCUGCCUUUAUUAAUUACAGUCCUAUCCAAACUGCAUUCCAGAUCCAAUGAAGUAAUGGACUGUCAGCGCCUUUUCAUGAUGUUACUGCUCUAAUAGACACUGAGGCAGCAACACAAACCAUUCAACUCUGCUGGAGGUUGAAGCUAGCAUGUAGAUACAAGUGGAAACAAUGGAUGCUGUGUGCCUUUGAACCUCAAAUCUUAUGUUCUCUGGAACCCUUUCUUCAGGUAAAAUGUGUAUAUGAGUCACUUGUUUUCUUGU